rnacentral:rRNA from 1 species
CACUGUCGAACGAUGAAGGGAGCUUGCUGUGGAUUAGUGGCGAACGGGUGAGUAACACGUGAGUAACCUGCCCUUGACUCUGGGAUAAGCCUGGGAAACUGGGUCUAAUACCGGAUAUGACCUUCCAUCGCAUGGUGGUUGGUGGAAAGCUUUUGUGGUUUUGGAUGGACUCGCGGCCUAUCAGCUUGUUGGUGAGGUAAUGGCUUACCAAGGCGACGACGGGUAGCCGGCCUGAGAGGGUGACCGGCCACACUGGGACUGAGACACGGCCCAGACUCCUACGGGAGGCAGCAGUGGGGAAUAUUGCACAAUGGGCGCAAGCCUGAUGCAGCGACGCCGCGUGAGGGAUGACGGCCUUCGGGUUGUAAACCUCUUUCAGUAGGGAAGAAGCCGCAAGGUGACGGUACCUGCAGAAGAAGCGCCGGCUAACUACGUGCCAGCAGCCGCGGUAAUACGUAGGGCGCAAGCGUUAUCCGGAAUUAUUGGGCGUAAAGAGCUCGUAGGCGGUUUGUCGCGUCUGCCGUGAAAGUCCGGGGCUCAACUCCGGAUCUGCGGUGGGUACGGGCAGACUAGAGUGAUGUAGGGGAGACUGGAAUUCCUGGUGUAGCGGUGAAAUGCGCAGAUAUCAGGAGGAACACCGAUGGCGAAGGCAGGUCUCUGGGCAUUAACUGACGCUGAGGAGCGAAAGCAUGGGGAGCGAACAGGAUUAGAUACCCUGGUAGUCCAUGCCGUAAACGUUGGGCACUAGGUGUGGGGGACAUUCCACGUUUUCCGCGCCGUAGCUAACGCAUUAAGUGCCCCGCCUGGGGAGUACGGCCGCAAGGCUAAAACUCAAAGGAAUUGACGGGGGCCCGCACAAGCGGCGGAGCAUGCGGAUUAAUUCGAUGCAACGCGAAGAACCUUACCAAGGCUUGACAUGAACCGGACCGCUGCAAAUGUGGUUUCCCCUUUGGGGCUGGUUUACGGGCAUGGUUGUCGUCAGCUCGUGUCGUGAAUGUUGGGUUAAGUCCCGCAACGAGCG